GACGAACGCUGGCGGCGUGCUUAACACAUGCAAGUCGAACGGCAAGGCCCUGCUUUCGUGGUGUGCUCGAGUGGCGAACGGGUGAGUGACACGUGAGUAACCUGCCCUUGACUUUGGGGUAAGUUCAGGAAACUGGGGCUAAUACCGGAUCGGAUCCCCUGCUGCAUGGAGGGGGUUGGAACGUUUCGGCGGGUGGGGAUGGACUCGCGGCUUAUCAGCUUGUUGGUGGGGGAGGGGCUUACCAAGGCAUUGACGGGUAGCCGGCCUGAGAGGGUGACCGGCCACAUUAGUACUGCGAGACGGCCCAGACUCCUACGGUAGGCAGCAGGGGCGAAUAUUGCACAAUGGGCGCAAGCCUGAGGCAGCAGCGCCGCGGUCGGGAUGACGGCCUUCGGGUUGUAAACCGCUUUCGCCUGUGACGAAGCGUGAGUGACGGUAAUGGGUAAAGAAGCACCGGCUAACUACGUG
rnacentral:rRNA from 1 species